rfam:Schistosoma curassoni strain Dakar, Senegal genome assembly, scaffold: SCTD_scaffold0000129
AUCUGACUAACGAGUCCUAAAUAGGACGAAACGCGCGUCAUGAAU